rnacentral:rRNA from 1 species
UAGGGAAUAUUAGUAAUCGGGGAAAGCCGGAACUAGCAACGCCGCGUGUGCGAUGAAGGCCUUCGGGUUGUAAAGCACUUUUUGAGGGGAUGAGAAAGGACGGUACCCUUAGAAUAAGUCUCGGCUAACUACGUGCCAGCAGCCGCGGUAAGACGUAGGAGACGAGCGUUAUUCGGAUUUACUGGGCGUAAAGCGCGUGCAGGCGGUUUGGUAAGUAGGAUGUGAGAGCUCCCGGCUCAACUGGGAGAGGCCGUUCAAAACUGCCAGACUAGAGGAUAGGAGAGGGAGGUGGAAUUCCGGGUGUAGUGGUGAAAUGCGUAGAUAUCCGGAGGAACACCAGUGGCGAAGGCGACCUCCUGGCCUAUUUCUGACGCUCAGACGCGAAAGCUAGGGUAGCAAACGG